rnacentral:rRNA from 1 species
GUGAUUAGAGUUCGAUUAUGGCUCAGGAUGAACGCUAGCGGCAGGCUUAACACAUGCAAGUCGAGGGGUAACAUUGUAGCUUGCUACAGAUGACGACCGGCGAACGGGUGCGUAACGCGUAUAGAAUCUGCCUUGUACAGGAGGAUAGCCUUUAGAAAUGAAGAUUAAUACUCCAUAAUGUUGGUGAAUGGCAUCGUUUACUAAUUAAAGAUUUAUCGGUACAAGAUGACUAUGCGUCCUAUUAGCUAGAUGGUAAGGUAACGGCUUACCAUGGCAACGAUAGGUAGGGGGUCUGAGAGGAUUAUCCCCCACACUGGUACUGAGACACGGACCAGACUCCUACGGGAGGCAGCAGUGAGGAAUAUUGGUCAAUGGAGGCAACUCUGAACCAGCCAUGCCGCGUGCAGGAAGACUGCCCUAUGGGUUGUAAACUGCUUUUAUACAGGAAGAAACCUUACUACGUGUAGUAAGCUGACGGUACUGUAAGAAUAAGCACCGGCUAACUCCGUGC